AUUGAACGCUGGCGGCAGGCUUAACACAUGCAAGUCGAACGAGUGGCGGACGGGUGAGUAAUGCUUGGGAAUCUAGCUUAUGGAGGGGGAUAACUACGGGAAACUGUAGCUAAUACCGCGUACCAUAGGAUGAGCCCAAGUGGGAUUAGGUAGUUGGUGAGGUAAAGGCUCACCAAGCCGACGAUCUCUAGCUGGUCUGAGAGGAUGACCGGCCACACUGAGACGGAAAAACGGCCGAUGCUCCACCGGGAGGCAGGAGUGGGGAUUAGUGCGCAAUGGGGGCACCCGGACGCAGCCAUGCGGCGUGAAUAAAGAAGUCCUUCGGGUUGUAAAGUUCUUUCGGUAGCGAGGCGUUAACUACAGAAGAAGCACCGGCUAACUCCGUGCCAGCAGCCGCGGUAAUAC
rnacentral:rRNA from 1 species